rnacentral:rRNA from 1 species
UACAGAGGUGGCAAGCGUUGUUCGGAAUUACUGGGCGUAAAGGGCGCGUAGGCGGCCUCGCAAGUCCCGUGUGAAAUCCCUCGGCUCAACUGAGGAAUGGCACGGGAAACUGCGGGGCUUGAGUUCGGGAGAGGGAAGCGGAAUUCCAGGUGUAGCGGUGAAAUGCGUAGAUAUCUGGAGGAACACCGGUGGCGAAGGCGGCGUUCUGGACUGCAACUGACACUGAUGAACGAAAGCCAGGGGAGCAAACGGG